CUACGGGGUGCACCAGUGAGGAAUAUUGCACAAUGGGGGGAACCCUGAUGCAGCAACGCCGCGUGGAGGAUGACGCAUUUCGGUGUGUAAACUCCUUUUAUAUGUCAAGAAAAUGACGGUAGCAUAUGAAUAAGCACCGGCUAACAUCCGUGCCAGCAGCCGCGGUAUACGGAGGGUGCAAGCGUUACUCGGAAUCACUGGGCGUAAAGGACGCGUAGGCGGGUUGGAAAGUCAGGUGUGAAAUCCUACAGCUUAACUGUAGAACUGCACUUGAAACUUCUAAUCUAGAGUAUGGGAGGGGGAGAUGGAAUUAGUGGUGUAGGGGUAAAAUCCGUAGAUAUCACUAGGAAUACCUAAAGCGAAGGCGAUCUCCUGGAACAUUACUGACGCUAAGGCGUGAAAGCGUGGGGAGCAAACAGGAUUAGAUACCCCCGUAGUC
rnacentral:rRNA from 1 species